AAGAACACCCAAAAUAGCUGA
rnacentral:miRNA from 1 species